rnacentral:rRNA from 1 species
GACGAACGCUGGCGGCGUGCUUAACACAUGCAAGUCGAACGGAGUUAAGGAGCUUGCUUCUUAACUUAGUGGCGAACGGGUGAGUAACGCGUGAGGAACCUGCCUUUCAGUGGGGGACAACAGUUGGAAACGACUGCUAAUACCGCAUGAUACUAUUGAGUGGCAUCACUUGAUAGUCAAAGAUUUAUUGCUGAAAGAUGGCCUCGCGUCUGAUUAGCUAGUUGGUGGGGUAACGGCCCACCAAGGCGACGAUCAGUAGCCGGACUGAGAGGUUGACCGGCCACAUUGGGACUGAGAUACGGCCCAGACUCCUACGGGAGCAGCAGUGGGGAAUAUGGGCAAUGGGCG